rnacentral:lncRNA from 1 species
UUUUCUACUGAGAAUAAAGGUAGGUGCUGCCCUGAUUUGGGGAAAGCUGGGCCCUGGAAGUAGGGAUGUGAUCUAGCCAAGUCUCAGACAGAGAGAAGCAGCUCUUUGGCUAGGACAGAAGCCCCAUCUCUUGACAUUUGACCUUCAGAUUCCUACAGUUUAAAAAUUAAUCACCAGAAAAUGAAUACUUCCCAUUUUCCCUCAGCUAGACCAAAGUCCUAAGUGCUGGCUCUAACUAAGCCAGGGGUUGUCUGUCAAAAUAAAUUGCAGGGGUGGGAGUCGGGCUGGUAGGGACCAGGCCAAUCAGCCCCAAGCUAGCAGCCUCCAGGGUUUGCUCUGGGCUCCUGGCUGGUUAGACCAGCCCUGCCAGGGCUCCUUGGAGAGCAGGGUGGAGAUGCAGGGCUUGGGAGAGGAGCAGCGAGGCCCGGGAGGGUGGGGCUGAGCAGGUCUCUGCAGCAGGCGGGAGAGGAGGAAAUGGGGUGGAGGAAUUGUGUUCAGGUGUGCACCGCCACCGAAGGCCAGGCUUCAGAAGGGGUUGAGGCUGCCUGCCCAGCCAGGGAGGAGAAGGAAGCUCUCGGUGGCUGUGAUGCCUGUUUGAGGAUACUUGAGGUGUCUCAGCCCAGUCUCCCUCCCCAGAAGAGGAAACCAAGAAGGGCCCAAGGCAUGCCAGCUCCCAGAGAGGAGAAAUUGACACAAAUUAUUUAAAAGAAGAAAAGCAACACCAUUACCAUAGUUGACUUCCUGUGUUUGUUUUCAAAACAACUUCUCUGAAGUGAAGUCGCUCAGUCGUACCCGACUCUGCGGCCCCAGGGAUAGUAGCCUGAACCAAGCUCCCCUGUCCAUGGGAUUUUCAAGGCAAGAAAUACUGGAGUGGGUUGCCGUUUCCUUCUCCAAAACAACUUCUCUAUCCUACAGCUAUUCCUGAAGUGCUCCCAAGAAAGCCUUAACAUUCACCAGAUCACAGUACGAAUAGCACUUUUUCUGUGUGUGUGUGUGUUGCUUAGCAAAGCAAAUAGAAUAAUAACUAAUGUGAGAUUUUAAUUAUUGUGUGUGUCAGUAGUGCUGCUUUGUAAAUCAGAGUUAAUUAAUUCUGAGUACUUGCUACUUCUUCAAUCCUCCUACCAGCUCAGGAGCAAGCGUGCUAUUUUCUAUGUCAAUAACGAGGGUGCUUCUAGAAAGAGUAUUCAGAACAAGCCGGGUGCCAUCUACAUGAGAGCAAUUUCAAGACUGGGAAUGUAGACUUGUCAUCAGUUCUACCUAAUGUAUGUUUCCCAGAAAAGGACAAGCUGUUUCCUCACUGUAAUGUUAGAUAAGGGAACAGCCUCCCCCGGCAGCUCUCUUUCACCUUUUCCUUCAGAAACUGGUCCAAAGUUUUUGAAUCAAUUAUUUUGUCUUCACAAUUCUUUAAAGCACUCCUUCAUAUAAAUGGAUCUGGUUAUUUAUUUGGCUGUUAUGUGCAAUGGUACUCUCUUUUAUUUACCUAAAUGCAUGAUUUUCAAACCUACAAUGUUUAUGCACAACUAAAUUUUGUAUGGAAACAUAAUUCAUAAAGCAGAAAAAUUGAGGAGCUAAGGAGUGUAGAUUGAAAAAUGAAACCAGUGGCCACCCAGCCAAACCCCCCACACACUCCUGUCCCCUACAGCUGCCCCUGCAGUAUUUCCAAGAAAACCCAUAUUCUUCAUAUCACACUUUGGAACCUUUCAUCCUAAACUACAUUUCUUCAUUAAGUUUUCAAAAAAAGCUUUAUCUCUGUAUUUGUGUAUUUCAUGACAAGACCAUCAUUCCUUUGAUUCCCUUGAUCAUGCUUCUGUCCAUUUCAGUCAGGUUUAAAAUGGAUAGAAGCUGCCUCCUUUCCAAAAUGAUAAACUUUACAUUUUUUCAAUAAAUUAAAAAAAAAGAAAACCUUUUUU